rnacentral:rRNA from 1 species
GAUGAACGCUGGCGGCGUGCCUAAUACAUGCAAGUCGAGCGAACGGACGAGAAGCUUGCUUCUCUGAUGUUAGCGGCGGACGGGUGAGUAACACGUGGAUAACCUACCUAUAAGACUGGGAUAACUUCGGGAAACCGGAGCUAAUACCGGAUAAUAUUUUGAACCGCAUGGUUCAAAAGUGAAAGACGGUCUUGCUGUCACUUAUAGAUGGAUCCGCGCUGCAUUAGCUAGUUGGUAAGGUAACGGCUUACCAAGGCAACGAUGCAUAGCCGACCUGAGAGGGUGAUCGGCCACACUGGAACUGAGACACGGUCCAGACUCCUACGGGAGGCAGCAGUAGGGAAUCUUGCGCAAUGGGCGAAAGCCUGACGGAGCAACGCCGCGUGAGUGAUGAAGGUCUUCGGAUCGUAAAACUCUUUUAUUAGGGAAGAACAUAUGUGUAAGUAACUGUGCACAUCUUGACGGUACCUAAUCAGAAAGCCACGGCUAACUACGUG